CUCAUCCUCAUCCUCGUCUCUAUGUACUCCAUCACGUUGACCAACCAUUGAACCAACUGUGCAUCACUCCACACCACAGGCUCCAAAUCAGCAUAUUGAUCCUUCUUUGAUCCUCUUGGCUUGAAUGACCGGAGACCUCAACUUGUCUCAGAAAACAUGCCUACUCUUAAAAGGAAAGUGAAAGAACAUGAAAGAAAAAACAAGGAAAUAGGCAGAAAAUGUUUUAAAAUCAAUCAAAUGUUUUCAGGAAAAAAGAAGAAAAUAAAUGCAGCAGAGUUAGAUCCUGUACCCAGCACCUCUGAUCCUGUACCCAGCACCUCUGAUCCUGUACCCAGCACCUCUGAUCCUGUACCCACAGAUAAUCAAUGCACUUCCCAAGAUAAUUCACUGGCCACAGUUAACACAAAUUGCAGCAAUGUAGAUGACUCGGUAUCGACGUCAUGUAAUGUCAUUGUUAAUGAAAACACCAUAGAUGUGCAUUCUCAAUCCUCCGUCUCUCUUGCCAACUGUUCUCAGAAUUUAGAGUGCGACACCUCACCCCCUAUUAUUUUGGAUGAUGACCUAUCUGAAGAAAGGUGCUCUUCUAAUGAAGAUACAGAUACAAUAAAUGACAUUGGGGUUAGUGCUUCUCCAAAAAAAAAGUCAAAACAUAAAGUUGGUUUCCAAAUAAAAUGGAAAAGAGAGUUUCCGUGGCUUAGUUGUAAAAAAAAUGGUGAAAGAGAAUCUCUACUCUGCAAGCUGUGUUUAAAACAUCUGUUGAAUGACACAAAAUACAACAAAUCUC